GUUCACACUUUUAAUUUCUGUAAAGUAUUCAGUUUUUAAGCACUUGAACCCUCUGCAGCAUUACUAUCAUGAGCAUGCUUAUAUUACAAAAAGUUUACACAAAUUAUGGUAGGUGAACUAAAACCCUUCAAAGGAAUGUACAUAAAAUAAUAUCACUUACAUGUUUUUUAUUAAUUUAUAUUAUGUUGGGGAUUUGCAGCAUGACAUGUUUAGCUGCAUUAACUGCACAUUUAGAAGAAAAGAUGCGUAUGGAAACCUAAUUUGCACAAUUUACUUUGCUUCUUAACUUAAAGAAUCUUCACUGUAUAAACAUGACCAUACAUGAGAAAGUGUAUCUGUUAAACAUUUCAGCUUGUAUGUUUAUAGGUUAAAUAUUUAUUAAAUUAUGUACAUGUUGAUGUGACUUGAAAUAAUAUUUAGUGUGUGUUUCUAUUACAGUUAAAGGAAAAGCUACAAAUAGUACUCCAAGGGAGCCAAACAUUUUCUUUGCUUAUAGGAAGCUUGAUGGAUCUGAAACAGAAGUGGAAUAGACAGAAGCUGUGAUGGUGACCUGCACUAUAAAAUAAAAAUUCAUCCACUUUUGGAACUAUAUAUUUUAACAAGAAGACAUUAAUUUUCCUCAAUAUUAAAGUGUAAUUUCAAAACAGCAAGUUAUGGGCAAUGGAAUAUUCUUAUUAAAAGAACAAAUGUGUUGAGUGAAAUUAUUCUUUUGUUUUGUAUGGAAGUAAUUAAAAGAAAGUCUGUAUCUGAGGUAGUGGCAAGUCUGUGUACAGUCAUGACAACUGUAUGUAUACAAACAUGAGUAAUGGAUACAUCCACUGGUUAUUCUAAGUGCUGGACAACUAAUGUAGAGAAAUAAAUUUGAAUUGUAAUUUGCAGCCAUUUGCUGACAGACUUACAGAGUGGCUUAAUUUUCAUGUGCUCCCAGGACAUGUAUCAAAUAAGGGAUGAUUUAUUGUAAUUUUCAUGUACAAAAUGUUUAAAUAAAUAACUGACCCAGUCUUA